CCUACGGGAGGCAGCAGUGGGGAAUAUUGGACAAUGGGCGAAAGCCUGAUCCAGCAAUGCCGCGUGAGUGAUGAAGGCCUUAGGGUUGUAAAGCUCUUUUACCAGGGAUGAUAAUGACAGUACCUGGAGAAUAAGCUCCGGCUAACUCCGUGCCAGCAGCCGCGGUAAUACGGAGGGAGCUAGCGUUGUUCGGAAUUACUGGGCGUAAAGCGUACGUAGGCGGUUAUUCAAGUCAGAGGUGAAAGCCUGGAGCUCAACUCCAGAACUGCCUUUGAAACUAGAUAGCUAGAAUCUUGGAGAGGUGAGUGGAAUUCCGAGUGUAGAGGUGAAAUUCGUAGAUAUUCGGAAGAACACCAGUGGCGAAGGCGACUCACUGGACAAGUAUUGACGCUGAGGUACGAAAGCGUGGGGAGCAAACAGGAUUAGAUACCCUGGUAGUCCACGCCGUAAACGAUGAUAACUAGCUGUUCGGGCUCUACGAGCUUGAGUGGCGCNGCUACGACAUAGUUAGUCGUCCGUGGAGGUACGGUCGCGAGAAGUUAAACGUUAAAGUAAAGUUAGUUACGGUACGUUGAGACGUUGCCGACGGACGACGACGAGGGAGGAGG
rnacentral:rRNA from 1 species